rnacentral:rRNA from 1 species
CCUACGGGUGGCAGCAGUGAGGAAUAUUGGUCAAUGGACGAGAGUCUGAACCAGCCAAGUAGCGUGAAGGAUGACUGCCCUAUGGGUUGUAAACUUCUUUUAUAUGGGAAUAAAAUGUUCCACGUGUGGGAUUUUGUAUGUACCAUAUGAAUAAGGAUCGGCUAACUCCGUGCCAGCAGCCGCGGUAAUACGGAGGAGCCGAGCGUUAUCCGGAUUUAUUGGGUUUAAAGGGCGCGUAGGUGGAUUGGUAAGUCAGUUGUGAAAGUUUGCGGCUCAACCGUAAAAUUGCAGUUGAAACUGGCAGUCUGGAGUACAGUAGAGGUGGGCGGAAUUCGUGGUGUAGCGGUGAAAUGCUUAGAUAUCACGAAGAACUCCGAUUGCGAAGGCAGCUCACUGGACUGCAACUGACACUGAGGCUCGAAAGUGUGGGUAUCAAACAGGAUUAGAUACCCGAGUAGUC